ensembl:lncRNA
UCAGUGCAUUCUGUUGAUGUAGACAGCGUGAAAACGGAAACAACAAGUAUGCCGGCUCACUGUGCUGCAUACAGUUACACACUACGUCGUACGAUUGAGACAAGGAAACUUGGAAUGACUUUUCAUAGGUUUCCCAGAGACUAUGGGUUGAGGAGGAACUGGAAGUUUGUCGGCUUAGACCUGGUGUCAUUCCAUCAGUGUUAAACUUCCCGGCUCAUCUUGGAAGAGUACGUGCCAGAAAGACCACGACCAAGCAGCCUUGAGAUCUUAGGCAGCGUCUCCCUGAGGUCCCUCUCUAUCUCCCUACACAUCCACCAACCACUGGAACACAUCUCCAAAGUUCUGCUGGACCAGCUCAGCUUCCCCUCAGAAGAAGUGCCACCACCUGCCAGAUGAAGGAGCCUUUUGAGAGGCAGCUGGCAUCGUGAUUGGACUGUACUUUGGUCUGUUCCAAUCCAGCUUCAGCUCCAGAGACGGCAGGCGGGACGAGUCAACGGAGGCCGGAUGGAUGAAGGCAUGCAGCUGAGUACAAUCCACAAAACAACAGAGGAGGAGUGAAGCAGCCCAGUAUAGCCUUCGACCAAAGAACUACAGACUCUUCACAACCUGCUCAAACUCUUGGUACAGGACCUCACCACACGGGUCAAGAAGGUUUCUGUCUCAUUUCUACUCUGAAGCUCACCUUCUCCUGCUCAAACUGCUGACAAAUGUUUCUGCUGCUCUAAAGUCUGGUCUCCAGAACUUCCUAAAAACUCUCAAAGUCUCUUCUGCUGCAGGUUGCUUUGUAGAACUGUUGCAGAAAACCUCACUAAACCACAUGGAGGGGCCUCAAGAUAGUCGUCCAAAUGAAACCAUACAAAAACCAAACUAGCACAACCCAAACACUAAAGUCUCCUGCAGCCUACCAGAGAACCUCUGAGAACAGAGAAUCAGGACAGGAACUCUUACCUUCUGGACAACCAACGCUGGUUCUCAAACAAGAAU